UCUUGACUAGUAUAUCGGUUAGUACACGCGCUUGUCAUUAUGCAUUGUGUACGCGCGAAAGCUGGGUUCGACUCCCAGGUCGAGAG